rnacentral:lncRNA from 1 species
UUACGUUGUGUAAAGCUUAAACUACCUUCUCUGGUUCCUUUACAGCUUCUUCGGUUUCUUUGUCAUCUGCCUUUGCUGCAACAUCUGCUUCCUGGCUCUUGUCCGUAUCCUCCGAGAUUGCAGGUUCAGAGCUUUGAGCAUUCUCAUCCGAUUCAGCACCUGGAUUUGAUGCAUCAUCACUCGAAUCUUUCAACUUCUCGGUUAUUUCAGCCUCACUUGCGUCUCGUGAGCUCUCAGUGGUUGCAACAUCACCUGCGUCUGAUAACUUCUCUAUGGUUUCAUCGCCACAUGCACCUGGUGAUGAAUACAUGGUAAAUUUGCUGACUCUAUUGAUAUGCUUCAUCUGGAGCAACCUUGUUUUAUGUUUCUAACAAAUAAGUAAGGUUUACGAAACUAUGAUCUGUUUUAUGAAUCUAGCUAAGAAUCAAGCAGUUAUUUAGAACACAUAUGAUGGUUUACUACUAUGGGUUGUAUUCUUGUUGUUGAUAAGCCUGAGACUGGAGAGUGGUUUAACAUUAUUUCCUGACUCUGCCUAAUGGCGUUUCUGUUCUAGUUUGUAUCUUCGAACUAAAGUCUAAUAAAAUCCUUUUUGCUUGAACAUUAGGAAAAGUGAAAUCCCCAAAGCUUGAUGACGGUGGAAGCGGGUUCCCACCUCGGCAUGAUGGUGGUGGUGGUGGGGGCGGAGGUGGUGGAGAGAGCUUCUCAGGUGGAUUCUUCCUUUUCGGGUUUCUUAUGCUCAUGGGAUACUUGAAAGAUUUGGAGGGCGAACAUGACAACAGCCACUAAAGUGAGAGGGGAUUAAACAUGAUGCACGACAAGACAAAUCUCAUGGCGAAGUUAGAGAAAUAGAACCAGCAGAGACAAUAGAGUUUACUAGUGCUGCUAGCAAUAGACACCACAUCUUUUAUCAGUAUUGUUAUGAAACAGAUAGAGUUUUGUUUUCUUUAUCAGUCGCACAUGAAAUGACUUGAAUAUAUAUAAAAGUUGAAGAGUGAUUAGAGCAUCUUCAAAAACAAACUCAUAACUAAAUAUAACAUCUUGUGUAUUAUGGAAACAACCUUAAAUGUGCCGGCUCAAGAGCAACUGUUUUACAACAUUUUAUGUGAUGAGUGUAGAUGAGAUAUAAGAACUUCAACUAAAAAAAUGAUAAGCUAGUGAUAAAUUUUGGUCGACAAUAUGUCCGAAAGGAAAAGAAAGAAUAAUAAAAAUCGUAGCAAACUAUAUAAACCAAAGAAAGUAUCAGCAUGAAUUUGUAUUACUAGUUACGUUGUGUAAAGCUUAAACUACCUUCUCUGGUUCCUUUACAGCUUCUUCGGUUUCUUUGUCAUCUGCCUUUGCUGCAACAUCUGCUUCCUGGCUCUUGUCCGUAUCCUCCGAGAUUGCAGGUUCAGAGCUUUGAGCAUUCUCAUCCGAUUCAGCACCUGGAUUUGAUGCAUCAUCACUCGAAUCUUUCAACUUCUCGGUUAUUUCAGCCUCACUUGCGUCUCGUGAGCUCUCAGUGGUUGCAACA